UGAUCAUUGAAAAUCUCGUCUUUGAAACUUUUGUGCUCUUUAAGAAAGCACAUAUCUAAAGAGAUUUUGUGAUUGAAAAACAAAAUUCGGCCAAUUCCAAAAUGGAAACUGGGAAACAUAACGAAACGCGGAAUGGCGAUGAAAAAAGGACUUCAGCAGUUAAAGAAAGCAGCUCCACAGGUGAACCACAGUCAAGACCUCCACGAUGGAAGCGUUCAGGAAGAAUAGCUCGGGAAAAUGAAGAAGCGGCUCAAAAACGAUUCCAAAACUUUUUGAAAGAAUUAUCAACUCCUCGUCGAUGGAACUGAAAAAAAAGACAAAUAAACAUAUUAGUAUAAUCUCUCUCUCGAAAUUGCACUCUUCAAUAUACAAUGUAAAAAAUGUAAUUUUUGGAUCUGACAUUCAAAAGAAUAGAGGUUUCAUAAGUUUAUCUUCAUUAGUUGAAAGAUAAUUUUUUUCAAACUUCCAUGAUCACUCUCCAAAAAAGGGAUAUGUAUUUUUUAAUGAAAAACACAAUCCUCGACUGCAAAAAUAUUAAAUCUACUUUACUAAGGUGUUGAACUGCGACACAGGUUACUAUU